rfam:Picea glauca, whole genome shotgun sequence.
ACCCAUUUAACUCAAUGGUUAGAGUAUCACUUUCAUACUAUGAGAGUCAUUGGUUCAAAUCCAAUAGUAGGUA